UCGGACGACAGACAUAAAACAUUAAAAAUAAAUCGAAGGCUGCGACUGUCAACGCUUGCAAAUAAAAAGAAAUAUAAACACACACACUGGAAAUAAAUGUACAUAUGAAGAAAAUAAAAAGAAGCUGCAAUCAUUUUUGCACAAACAACCAGUAAGAGUGGAGGAGGGAGGAGCAACAGAGGGACAAGAAGAGAAGAGACUGAGACUGAGACUGAGACGACAACAAACAACAGAAACAACGACGAUCCGACGAUCCGACGAAGCAAAGCCCCAAAACCCAACGCAUAAAUCGCCAGCAGAGGCAGCGACAGCGACAGAGACUGAGACGUCGUACUUGAAAACCAGUUUUUUCGAAUAAAAAUAUGUCUACUGAAGGUACAGCGCUAAAAGCAACAGCAAACAACAGACAAGAGACAAGAGACAACAACAGCAACAACAGUUUGAGGCAACAUCAACUGCUGCAACAAAAAGAGACCCAAAAGAGUGACUGCCAAUGGAAAUAGUUUAAGAAAUUGUAUCAUCAAAGCCGAAAAGGUCUCGUGUCUCCCUCCCAUAAUAGAUAUGUAUGUACAUGGGAAUAAAGAUAGCGGGGCGCAAAUGGGACAGGAAGUGGCGGAGAGGCGUCUCUGAUAAGCAGGCGAACGGACUUGAAGCAUAGAGAGGCGCACAGUGGCUAGCAGAUGGAUGCAAGGAGACUGGAAAAUGCCAGCCCAGAGGACUUUAAACACAUUUUGAUGGUUCAUUCAUCGAAAAAGAGUCCAGAGAGGGCCUUGAUUGUUAAACAUUUCGAUGGUAUAGCUAGUUUAUGGCUCCCUUCCUUUGCUAAUCAGCAUGGCCUGCCUUCCUCCUGCCGCCCCCCUCUUUGCACUUGA